UAAAGUGACAAGAUGUAUAAAUUAUGGAAAAGCUAUGAAUAGCAUGAUACAAAGUAAAAUCAUUUAUUCUACUUGUAUAGUUGUACGGUUUCAUAUUGCAUAUCGCGAGGCAUGACAUGUAGGGUGCAUUUGGUUCGCAUUAUGAAUGAUUACUAGGAAUAAAAGAUAUCCGAGAAUCUUAUUCCUAUUCAUCCUAUUACUAAGAAUGUGGAAUUCCUGUGUUUGGUUCACACGGUAAUAUUAAUUAGCCAUGUUAUUUAAUAUUACAAAAAAUAUACAAUUAAUUUAUUUAUUUAUUUAAUUAAUUUUAGAUAAUGUUACCAAAAGUUUAAACAUCUUUUUAGAAAAAAGGGAGAGAGAGUAUAAGUUAGAGAGAGAAAGCAUAAUUAAAAAAAUAGAAAGAAAAAUAUAGUUGAAAUUAGAGGGAGUGAGAGAGUUGAAAUUUUAGAAAGAGAGGGAGAGAGAGAAAGCUUAGUUUAGAGAGAGAAAAAAAAAGUUGAAUUUUAGAGAGAAAAAUAAGUUUAGAGAGAGAUAUAAGAUUAGAGUGUAAAGAAAAAUAAUAUCAAUUAGCCGGCAGGUAGGAAGAAAGAAAGAGAUUAGACAUAUUAUGUUACCCCAAUCCAUUAAUAUGAGGAUACCCACCUCCCUCAAGGGAAUGAGAUUAGUACUUUGAGGUGAAUCUUAUUCCCAAGUGAAUCCAAUAUUACCAACUAGAUUACUUAGUGCGUUUAGCCAAACACCGUCAUAUUUUUUUAUUCCCAUUGGAUUACUAAGAAUCUUUAAAAGAUAGUGCGAACCAAACGCACACGUAGUUCAAUAUCGGGUAAAAAUAUAAAUAUCUGUAUUAUGUUAUUGGACUAACUUGUUGCAGUGCCUCAUUGGACCUAUUGAUCGAGCUUUUUCCAUAGGUGGUCGUACCCACUGGGAACCAUGGAGUUGGUUCUGACCCCACGUUGUUUUGGGGUGUUACAAGUUCACACGUGAGCGGUGCGGCGGCGCAAGGCGAGGGCGUAGCUCCGUAGUUAGCGCCCUACUAUCGAGACCAGAGAUAGCGAUACCCUGAGUCGGCUACUUAGGGAUGUAAGAAAAUGAAAGGAAUAAGAUUGCAAUAAUUUGUAAUAAAAGCAUGAUUGUAUUUGGAAGUUAAAUGUAAUAUGUAAUCGUGAUGUAAAAUGUAUCUAGUGAAUGUGAAUGAUUGUAAUAACAAGUAGAUUAUAUUUUUGAUACUUCCUUAUGCAAUCUUUGAUUGAAAUGUGUUCCUGGUUGGAACUUCGUACAUUGUAUUGAUUGCGACGGCUUGGACGUACAGGGAGACUCUGUCCGCGGUACAGGGAA
rnacentral:lncRNA from 1 species